rnacentral:rRNA from 1 species
CAGUAGCGUAUAUUAAAGUUGUUGCAGUUAAAAAGCUCGUAGUUGGAUUUCUGACUUCAAACACCUGACCCUCCCUCGCUAGAGGUGUGUGUGCCGGAGUGUUUGUAUCAUCCUUUCAGUGAUCGGUUCUACCCUUAACCGGGUCGGAACUGUUAACUGGAUCUUUUACUUUGAAGAAAUUGGAGUGUUUAAAGCAGGCUUACGCCAGAACAUAUUAGCAUGGAAUAAUGGAAUAGGACUAUGGUCUCUUUGUUGGUUUGAGGGACUGCAGUAAUGAUUAAUAGGGAUAGUUGGGGGCAUUAGUAUUUAAUUGUCAGAGGUGGAAUUCUCAGAUUUGUUAAAGACUAACUUAUGCGAAAGCAUUUGCCAAGGAUGUUUUCAUUAAUCAAGAACGAAAGUUAGGGGAUCAAAGAUGAUCAGAUACCGU